GUUAGUUUAGAAAGGAGAGAAGGUUAGCACUCCCCUUGAGAAGGAUAGAAGAGGUUCUAGUGGCCUUUAUACAGCAUGGCUCAGUGGAAAGAGCACGGGCUUGG
rnacentral:ncRNA from 2 species